rnacentral:rRNA from 1 species
CACGUAGUUAGCCGGUGCUUAUUCUUCAGGUACCGUCAUCCCUCCGAGUUAUUAGCCCAAAGGAUUUCUUCCCUGACAAAAGCGGUUUACAACCCGAAGGCCUUCUUCCCGCACGCGGCAUGGCUGGAUCAGGGUUGCCCCCAUUGUCCAAAAUUCCCCACUGCUGCCUCCCGUAGGAGUCUGGGCCGUGUCUCAGUCCCAGUGUGGCUGGUCGUCCUCUCAGACCAGCUACAGAUCGUCGGCUUGGUAGGCCUUUACCCCACCAACUACCUAAUCUGAUAUCGGCCGCUCCAAUCGCGCGAGGUCCGAAGAUCCCCCGCUUUCACCCUCAGGUCGUAUGCGGUAUUAGCUGCUCUUUCGAGCAGUUAUCCCCCACGACUGGGCACGUUCCGAUAUAUUACUCACCCGUUCGCCACUCGUCGCCAGGUUGCCCCGCGUUACCGUUCGACUUGCAUGUGUAAGGCAUGCCGCCAGCGUUCAAUCUGAGCCAGGAUCAAACUCU